UGUUCGGAAUGUCAUGACUCUCAAGUCCUGCUCAAGUAUUGCCGACGUUGAUGUUAUGUCAUUUGACACGGAAAAAUAAGUUCUAUUAACUUGGAGGGUAAUGCUCUUGCCAUAACUCUAGCCAAUAAUAUUAGAUUGACCAGAUUCAGAAAAUGUAGCCAACGCCAUUCUUGAGAUAUUUUACAUUCCAUUUUAAAUAUGCUCAAUAUCAUUAAUGUCUUAGAUUCCUCAUGUACCUGAAAUUUAUGUCUUAAUUGUUUUCAUUUCACUUAUUUCAUUUUAUUUUCGCACGCAUAAAUCAUUUCUUCCUAUUAUAUGAUACUCGUCUUCUGGUAGGUAGGCUGUACUCUCUUUCUCUCCUUUUUCCCUUUUUUUUUUGGCAUUCGUUCCUUUAUUUUUAUUUUGUUCUCUUAUUACAUAAUUUCCAUGCAUCCCUUGUCGAGUCGUCCCAAAUUGCACGUUAGAAUUACACUGUGGCAUUUAUUUAUACCACCACGUACACCAAUGCCAACACCAUUUUAUAUGGUCUAUAAAGUUCAUAACUAGGAUGCCAUAUUAUCAUACUAAUUGUGCCUAAAGGUGUAGAUACAUUGAUGUAUAUAGAAGGAGAAUAAAAUCUUGUGAAUAGUCAUGUUGUCUUAUGCAGUAGACUAUUAGUAGAACAUGAUGUCUGUUCUUGGAAGUUCUUUAUCUUAUGGUAUUGUUUUACUGGAUGGAACAUGUUUCUCUCCUAUCUUGAAAAGCACACAGUCAUACGCUAAAAGUUCUUCAUUUCAUCUUCAUUUUUAUUCAGGACUUAGUCCGUGAAGUGGACCCAAACAUCAUAAUUGGCUAUAACAUCUGCAAAUUCGAUAUGCCAUACCUUAUUGAGGUGGAGAUAUUAUAUCUUAACUUUGCCUUUCAAUUUUUAGUAUCUCAUUCCAAUUAACAUGAAAAUAAUGUUGGGAUGUUGUUCCCAACCCAAGAUAAAAACAAAUUCUGUAGUUUAACAAGCGGUUGACUAUGUAUAGUGCUUUUGUUUUCUUUUAUUUUUGAACUUAACAGAGAGCUGAUGUACUGGGAAUAGCUGAAUUUCCGAUGCUUGGGCGUAUUCGAAAUAGCAGUGUCAGCAUCAAGGAUACAACUUUUUCCUCAAGACAACAUGGGACCAGAGAAAGUAAAGAAGUUACAAUGGAGGGGAGGGUACAAUUUGACCUGCUACAGGUUUUUCCUGCCAAACGGAACUGCAUCAUCUGAGACUCAUAUUUAAGAGUGACAGGAAAAAAAAUCCUUAUUUUAUUGUACAUAAUUGUAAGUUGUCACCUUUGGUACUUGUUUAUGCAGGCCAUUCAGAGAGAUUACAAAUUAAGUUCUUAUUCACUUAAUUUUGUUUCUGCACACUUUCUUAAUGAGCAGAAAGAGGAUGUGCACCAUUCAAUUAUAUCCGACCUUCACAAUGGGAAUUCAGACACCAGAAAAAGUCUUGUUGUCUAUUGUUUGAAGGUGAAUCAUAUUCCUCAGCUUAAGUAUAUCUGGAUUAUAUUUCUUGUGACAUGUAGGCUCUUAUGCGUCUCAUUUUAUUUUAUCGUUCACAACAUAAAAUUUAAUUAGUCUGUGCAUUUGUAUGCUUAGAGCGGUUCCCUAUUGUGGUAAUUUUAUUUUCCUCCUGGUUUUUGCAUUUCCAGUUCCCUCCUUGUAGCAAAUGCCCUUAUUCAUUAUACUUAGACUGUCAAAGAAAAGGUUUAGAUGCCAUGUCUAUAAAACACCUCCUUCCACUAUAUUAACUGUCCUCCUCGCACUCAAAAUAAACAAAAACGCAUGUAUAAGUUAGGAUAUUGAGAUUGAAUUGUAGGGAUGUAGAUUGUAUUUUCUCUCCAGGUAUGCUAGAUCUAUUAUCAAAGGACAACCUGCAAUUUCUCCAUUUACAAGUUUUACCAAUUGUAUGAGCAUCAGGUCAUAGGAACUCCACAAGCUUUCGACAUUAGGUCUAUCACUGGUUCAUGCAUUGAUAUUAUACUACUAAAUGCA